rnacentral:rRNA from 1 species
ACGGAGUUGCUAGUAAUCGCGAAUCAGCAUGUCGCGGUGAAUGCGUUCCCGGGCCUUGUACACACCGCCCGUCACACCAUGGGAGUUGGGAGCGCCCGAAGCCGGUGGCUUAACCGCAAGGAGAGAGCCGUCUAAGGUGAGACCGAUGACUGGGGUGAAGUCGUAACAAGGUAGC